rnacentral:rRNA from 1 species
GUGGGGAAUAUUGGACAAUGGGCGAAAGCCUGAUCCAGCCAUGCCGCGUGUGUGAAGAAGGUCUUCGGAUUGUAAAGCACUUUAAGUUGGGAGGAAGGGCAGUAAGUUAAUACCUUGCUGUUUUGACGUUACCGACAGAAUAAGCACCGGCUAACUUCGUGCCAGCAGCCGCGGUAAUACGAAGGGUGCAAGCGUUAAUCGGAAUUACUGGGCGUAAAGCGCGCGUAGGUGGUUUUGUAGGUUGGAGGUGAAAUCCCCGGGCUCAACCUGGGAACUGCCUCCAAAACUGCAUGACUAGAGUACGGUAGAGGGUAGUGGAAUUUCCUGUGUAGCGGUGAAAUGCGUAGAUAUAGGAAGGAACACCAGUGGCGAAGGCGACUACCUGGACUGAUACUGACACUGAGGUGCGAAAGCGUGGGGAGCAAACAGGAUUAGAAACCCCAGUAGUCC